UACAGAGGUGGCAAGCGUUGUUCGGAAUUACUGGGCGUAAAGGGCGCGUAGGCGGCCUUCUAAGUCAGACGUGAAAUCCCCCGGCUUAACCUGGGAACUGCGUCUGAUACUGGGAGGCUCGAGUAUGGGAGAGGGAUGUAGAAUUCCAGGUGUAGCGGUGAAAUGCGUAGAUAUCUGGAGGAACACCGGUGGCGAAGGCGGCAUCCUGGACCAAAACUGACGCUGAAUAGCGAAAGCCAGGGGAGCAAACGGG
rnacentral:rRNA from 1 species